GACGAACGCUGGCGGCGUGCUUAACACAUGCAAGUCGAACGGAAAGGCCCUGCUUUUGUGGGGUGCUCGAGUGGCGAACGGGUGAGUAACACGUGAGUAACCUGCCCUUGACUUUGGGAUAACUUCAGGAAACUGGGGCUAAUACCGGAUAGGAGCUCCUGCCGCAUGGUGGGGGUUGGAAAGUUUCGGCGGUUGGGGAUGGACUCGCGGCUUAUCAGCUUGUUGGUGGGGUAGUGGCUUACCAAGGCUUUGACGGGUAGCCGGCCUGAGAGGGUGACCGGCCACAUUGGGACUGAGAUACGGCCCAGACUCCUACGGGAGGCAGCAGUGGGGAAUAUUGCACAAUGGGCGGAAGCCUGAUGCAGCAACGCCGCGUGCGGGAUGACGGCCUUCGGGUUGUAAACCGCUUUCGCCUGUGACGAAGCGUGAGUGACGGUAAUGGGUAAAGAAGCACCGGCUAACUACGUGCCAGCAGCCGCGGUGAUACGUAGGGUGCGAGCGUUGUCCGGAUUUAUUGGGCGUAAAGGGCUCGUAGGUGGUUGAUCGCGUCGGAAGUGUAAUCUUGGGGCUUAACCCUGAGCGUGCUUUCGAUACGGGUUGACUUGAGGAAGGUAGGGGAGAAUGGAAUUCCUGGUGGAGCGGUGGAAUGCGCAGAUAUCAGGAGGAACACCAGUGGCGAAGGCGGUUCUCUGGGCCUUUCCUGACGCUGAGGAGCGAAAGCGUGGGGAGCGAACAGGCUUAGAUACCCUGGUAGUCCACGCUGUAAACGGUGGGUACUAGGUGUGGGGUCCAUUCCACGGGUUCCGUGCCGUAGCUAACGCUUUAAGUACCCCGCCUGGGGAGUACGGCCGCAAGGCUAAAACUCAAAGGAAUUGACGGGGCCCCGCACAAGCGGCGGAGCAUGCGGAUUAAUUCGAUGCAACGCGUAGAACCUUACCUGGGUUUGACAUGGAUCGGGAGUGCUCAGAGAUGGGUGUGCCUCUUUUGGGGUCGGUUCACAGGUGGUGCAUGCCUGUCGUCAGCUCGUGUCGUGAGAUGUUGGGUUAAGUCCCGCAACGAGCGCAACCCUUGUUCACUGUUGCCAGCACGUUAUGGUGGGGACUCAGUGGAGACCGCCGGGGUCAACUCGGAGGAAGGUGGGGAUGACGUCAAGUCCUCAUGCCCCUUAUGUCCAGGGCUUCACGCAUGCUACAAUGGCUGAUACAGAGAGUGGCGAGCCUGUGAGGGUGAGCGAAUCUCGGAAAGCCGGUCUCAGUUCGGAUUGGGGUCUGCAACUCGACCUCAUGAAGUCGGAGUCGCUAGUAAUCGCAGAUCAGCAACGCUGCGGUGAAUACGUUCCCGGG
rnacentral:rRNA from 1 species